GAAGAUGGUCAGGGAAGAUUUUCAAAAGUUACUGGAGUGUGUUAGUAUUAGAAGCUGAGCUGUGGGGGGCGAGACUGGUUUGCCAAGGGUGAUAUUAGAAGUAGAUAAUGCUGCUGCUGUCCAGAUGGUUAAUGGGGAGGAUCGGGAAAUGCACCAUAAUGCUGUGGUGCGAGGAGUAAAGAAUAUGCUUCGUCGGACGUGGGAGGUAAGAGUCCAGCAUGUUUACCGAUAAGUUAAUGCAGUAGGAGAUCGUAUGACAGCAUUAGCACGCGGCUAUGGAAUGGACCUACGGCUAUGGAGUUACUGAAUGAAGAAAGGAAGACGCUGCUGUAAUUAUUCUUGAAUGAUUUUCGAUUGUUCUCUUAUUCUACCAAAACAAAAAUUGAGGAAUUGGGCAAACCAAAUUCUAUAGAGAUACAAGGUCCUAUUUAUUCUUUUAUUUAUAUAUUCACCAUCAAACCUUUGC
rnacentral:lncRNA from 1 species